CCUACGGGAGGCUGCAGUGGGGAAUAUUGCACAAUGGGCGCAAGCCUGAUGCAGCCAUGCCGCGUGUGUGAAGAAGGCCUUCGGGUUGUAAAGCACUUUCAGCGGGGAGGAAGGCGGUGAGGUUAAUAACCUCAUCGAUUGACGUUACCCGCAGAAGAAGCACCGGCUAACUCCGUGCCAGCAGCCGCGGUAAUACGGAGGGUGCAAGCGUUAAUCGGAAUUACUGGGCGUAAAGCGCACGCAGGCGGUCUGUCAAGUCGGAUGUGAAAUCCCCGGGCUCAACCUGGGAACUGCAUUCGAAACUGGCAGGCUAGAGUUUUGUAGAGGGGGGUAGAAUUCCAGGUGUAGCGGUGAAAUGCGUAGAGAUCUGGAGGAAUACCGGUGGCGAAGGCGGCCCCCUGGACAAAGACUGACGCUCAGGUGCGAAAGCGUGGGGAGCAAACAGGAUUAGAUACCCCUGUAGUC
rnacentral:rRNA from 1 species